CAGGUACUGGCUAAGUUCUGGGACUAUAAUGAGUCAGACCGUCCCUGUCUGCACAGAACAGAGUUUCUUAGCAAAGGCAGACAUCCACCCAAUAAUCACAUACUCAAACAUGAUUACAAACUGAUGAGUGCUGGGGAGGAACAGGGCGGCAUUUUAUGAGAGCCCAGAGGUCUGAGUGAAGGUUUCCCAGAUAAAGUGAGCCAUGAGCCGCCCUGAGGUUGAUGAGGCAUAGCAGUACUGGUGGUGUGGUAGACACAGAGAUGGCAGUCACACCUCCCUGCUGAAGCACACAAGGCAAGACACACAAAUCCUGUCACCUCCACUGCCCCAGGGCCUCCCCAGCAGGUUGGCUGAGGCUUUGUCAGGCCUGUGUCACGGUUUUCCUUUCUCUGCCCAUGCUGCUUCCUCCCACUUCCUCUUUCAGGGGUUCACUCCUAAUAUCACACCCCAUCCCGGGGUCAGCAGUGAGGACAACUUCCUAGGCCAGGGACCACUAAAGGCCUAGCGAUCUGAGGGACUCCACAGUGACUGCAGGACAAACAGUGAGGGAGGACAAGGCUGGAAUACAAGACAUGAGUGGCAUCAGGACAGGCAGGCCAGGGAAGCAUUUUGGACUUCCCUAAAUGUGAGACUUGAAACCGUGAAGCUACUAGAAAAAUAAUAAUAAUGAGGAGGAGGAAAGCUCUUCAAUUUAAAUUUUAAAAUCAUUGACGAAAGAAUUUUUGUCCUCAUCCAAGAACUGUUGAGAACUUCUGGAACGCUGAGAGUAGGGGGGACAACAUAAUCAGAUCUAUAUUUAAAUUCUGUUUCUUGGAGGAUGGAGUAGAUCAGGGGCAUCGAAGGGUGCUAGAGAAUGAAUUGUGGAACCAACAAGGUCCAGUGCUGGCUGGAUGAGGGCUGGGUGGUGGGAAGUGGACAGGCUUGUCUGCAUCACCAGCACCUGGCACAUCAUCUAGCACAGAGGUUUUUAGUACACUCUUGUUGCUUGAGUGAGAAAGUAGAUUCUGCAAGGUCCAUGCAGUCCAGCACGGGAUGGGUGGUAGGUGGUAAGAGCAGUGUCUAGGAAUUGAGUUCAGCUUGUCUUUGGACUCCUUGAGGUCCGUUCGUAGAUAACCACAGACCAGAACAGAAAGUGAGUCUUCCAAGAGAAGCCUAUGGACAUGAAAGGGCUGCAAGGGAGGGAUGAAUAACCUCCUAGGAUGCUAAACCAUAGUUGGGCUGAGUGCUUGAGCGACUCUUUCAGAGCUAACUCAUAGUCUCUAGCUCUCAGGGACAUUCAGGAUGCCUGGGAGACGUUAGUGUUCUCAGUAAUCAAAUGCCUUGACUCAUGCUCUCGUGAGCAUGUGAUCCUAAGGUGACUGUCCAAGGAUCCCAGACAGUGAUUCCAAAGUGUUAUCCAAGGAUCACCUGAGUGUUUGCUUGAAAUGCAGAUUUCCAAAGCCUUGGCCUGAACUUGCUGGUUAUGAAAUUCCAAGAGUAGAUUGCCCCAGGAAUUUUCUCAUAAUGAAGUUUGAGAAGCAUAAGGGCAGGGCCAGGCUGGGCGUGUCAUGGUAGGAAAAGGUCAAAUCAGGGAGGUCUGAAUUCUAGCAGCAAAUAUGUCAUUAAUCUCAUUUGGCAUUCUUGAACCAGGGCUAUCCCCUCCUCCAGCCUUAGCUUCCUCUUCUACCUGCAUUUCUACCUGAAUCCAGACCAUGUGCUCUUCUAAGAAGCUUAAGGAUACUAAACCUCCCCUUCCAACCCAGGCGGCUCCCCUAUUCACCAGAGUGCACACCUGGCUCAGCGAGUCUCUAUUCCCUCACCUGGCAGUGAGCGGAACAACAGUGCCUGCUUAGAUGGUUGCUGAGAUGAUUAGAAAUGAUUCAUUAAGUUUCUCAUUUAUUUGAGGGACAGAGAGAGUAACAGCUCCAAUCUUCUGUUUCAUUCCCUAAAUACUAAAUAUCCACAGCCGCCAAGACUGGGCUGAAGCCAAAGCUGGUAGCCAGGAGCUCAACCAAGUCUUCCACAUGGGUGGAAAGACCCCAAUUACUUGAACCAUCACCACUGCCUCCCAAGGUCUGCAUUGGCAGGGAGCUGAAGCAGAUCAAUGUGUCCAGCUCCCUUAGGAAUCUCCAAAUUUACAAAUUUACCAUGAAAAUAGCCAAGAAGUAGUGAUUCCUCCUCUGCCCUUCAGGGAUGAUUUUUAUCUUAAACAAGGCAAAAAGGAUGGAGACUUGUAAAUCAGAUCUAUUGUUGAGUUUGUUCCUACCUCCUUGAUUGACAGUUUGUUACCCAAGAUUGUACUUAAAAACUUCAUUAUCACCAGCCCUUGGGCUCCCUCUCUUGGACCCCCCCCCCCUUUGCCGCUUUGGCAGGAGGUUUCCAACCUGAAUAAACCCUAUUUUACUUUCAA